UUUUUUAGCCAACAGCCGCUUGCAAGCGCUUCAGUCUAUAAGCGACAACGUGUACGAGCGGUCGCGUUCUUAUUCUUUUGCCCGCUAAUAACUAACCAACACUAACAAAUAGCCAAGCAAAGUUUGAAGAGUAGUAGUCAAGCAAAAACGCAGCUUCUGAAAAUUGCCAUUAAAACAAAAUUUUCGAGAGUAUAAAAAUUCGCGCGCUUAUUUUGAAAAAUAUCAGCGCUUCAAUUAAACAAAUUUUAUGUGCCGAGUGACUAAACGCGCUGCAAAUAAUUCUAGAUCAGCUGUUAAAUAAAUGUUGAUCAUAAAGCGGUCAGCUGUGUCAAUCAACUGCCCAUCCAACCGGUCAGUUAGUUCAAAAAAGCCCGUUUACCGUAGUAGCGCCGCUUAGUUUUCCAACGCGUGUCAAACAAAUUAGCGAAGCUGCCUUAUCUAGUUAAACGCUCUUUGCUGCAGCGCCGAUAUUUGUGCAAACGCUUUGCGAAAGAGGUGAAAAGCGGCAAGCUCAUUAGCGAAAAUUACGCAAGUAAACAAAUAAACAAGCGCGCGUCUGUGUGAGGGUCAACCAUAAACCCACACGCAGAUAGGCAAAUCACCACACCGACCUACCCAAAUUGCUUGCUCUAGACUGUCGCUGCUUUACAGCCGCUUUCCUAUUUCCGCUGCCGCUUUGCAAAAAUAUUCAAACAAUAUUUAAAGUGUCGGAAACGCCAUUUCCUACGAAAGCCCAGGCAUACAUUUUCCAACGCCACUCGCCAACGGAAACGGUAAAUUCUGCUUUCGCCGUUGUUACUUGUGGUGGUGGCCCAUUGUUUGGAGUCCGACUUUAAGCCAAGCUUUUUGCUUACAACUCGCGUACGCGCUUCGCCAUCGCGUUCAGUGUUUGUGCGUCGCUGUCUGCGUUUAGUUUCUUUCUAUACGCCUCUCUCCCCGCAUACUGACUGUAGCGUGGUCGCGUUUCGCCAGGUUGAACAGGAUAAAUUUAUCUCUCAAAAAAAGUGUUAAAUCGUUUUACGGAAAUACUGAGCGAAAACUUAGUUGGAAAUACAAAUAAUUUUGUGUCCAAGCAUUGUUGAAGUGUUCAUGUGAAAUUAGAGAAAGCGAAAAGUAAGAAAGUGAUUUUGAAAAAUACUCGUAAUUGUUCAAAGUUAAAGGCGAAGAAUUUUUUGAAGUCAAACUCAUCACUUGAGUGCUGGCAGCGCGUCCGAGAGUGUUGAAGAGAAAGUGAAGUGAAUUUUAUAGGUGUCGCAUACCUUUUAUUUAAUACCUGCUAAAAACAAAGCUGCAUACAUAUGUACGAGUGCCUCGCUGGUUUCGGUGCCCUUCAAAAACAAUAAAAACAAAGGAAUGACUGCCACACUCUCUUCAACCACUGCAUAGAUAGGUAUACCUAGCGUCCUCUGUUUUCUAUUGCAGAUUUAUGCGCUUAAUUAAAUUGCGUGGAAAAUAAAAAAGAAAAACUCGUGAAAACGUUUGAGCGGAAUAGCAGCAAUAAGCAGCUUAAAUUCAAAUAAAAUAGUGACUAACAUUAAUUUGGUAAAACAUAAAAAAUAGCUAACAAAACGAAUCAAAGUAAGUGACUAACAAAAAAAAAUUAUAAGAAGUACAUUUUCGGGAGUACGUACAUACAUAAAUAAAUAAAAUCUUGUGAAAUUUAAAACUGUUAAUAGAAAUUCGUUGUUUUCCAAUUCCUAAGCGUCUACAUAGCAUACUUUUUAAAUAGUGUUGAAAAAUUUUU